rnacentral:rRNA from 1 species
GAUCAGAUCAAGCGCGAAAAGGGCGUUUGGUGGAUGCCUAGGCAGUAAGAGGCGAUGAAGGACGUGGUACCCUGCGUUAAGCCAUGGGGAGCCGGGAACAGGCUUUGAUCCAUGGAUAUCCGAAUGGGGAAACCCACCUGAAUGUUUGUUGUAAUUACCUCUGGUAGCUUACAGCAGGCAUGAACAGGUACUAAUUACCUGAAUACAUAGGGUUUUUAGAGCAAACCCGGGGAACUGAAACAUCUAAGUACCCGGAGGAAAGGACAUCAAUAGAGACUCCGUUAGUAGUGGCGAGCGAACGCGGAUCAG